CGAAGGUGGCAAGCGUUACUCGGAAUUACUAGGCGUAAAGGGCAGGUAGGUGGUGUGGUAAGUCCGUUGUGAAAGCUCCCGGCUCAACUGGGAGAGGUCAACAGAUACUACCAUGCUGGAGUGUGGGAGAGGGUACUGGAAUUCCCGGUGUAGCGGUGAAAUGCGCAGAGAUCGGGAGGAACACCAAUGGCGAAAGCAGGUACCUGGACCACUACUGACACUCAACUGCGAAAGCUAGGGGAGCAAACAGGAUUAGAUACCCUGGUAGUCCUAGCCGUAAACGAUGCACAUUAGACGUGAGGGGUAUCGACCCCCUUCGUGUCGACGCAAACGCAUUAAAUGUGCCGCCUGGGGAGUACGGCCGCAAGGUUG
rnacentral:rRNA from 1 species